rnacentral:rRNA from 1 species
GACGAACGCUGGCGGCGUGCUUAACACAUGCAAGUCGAACGGAAAGGCCCUGCUUUUGUGGGGUGCUCGAGUGGCGAACGGGUGAGUAACACGUGAGUAACCUGCCCUUGACUUUGGGAUAACUUCAGGAAACUGGGGCUAAUACCGGAUAGGAGCUCCUGCUGCAUGGUGGGGGUUGGAAAGUUUCGGCGGUUGGGGAUGGACUCGCGGCUUAUCCGCUUGUUGGUGGGGUAGUGGCUUACCAAGGCUUUGACGGGUAGCCCGCCUGGGAGCGUGACCGGCCACAUUAGGACUGAGGUACGGCGCAGAAUCGUACGGUAGGCAGCAGUGGGGAAUAUUGCACAGUGGGCGGAAGCCUGAUGCAACAACGCCGCGUGCGGGAUGACGGCCUUCGGGUUGUGAACCGCUUUCGCCUGUGACGAAGCGUGAGUGACGGUAAUGGGUAAAAAAGCACCGGCUAACUACGUG